rnacentral:lncRNA from 1 species
UGGGAAAGUUAGUGAGCGCACCACGGAGGGCAGGAGGUGAUUUUGCAUAUGAGCAAACUGUGGCUCAAGUUACAGGGCUCUGUCUGGGCAAGUGACUUCCCCCUCGUUCACAGCCACUGAAAAUCAUGAACACUUGUAAUCUGCAGACUAAAUACCCAGCAGUCAAUUAGAGAAAAACACAUUUUUCUUCCACUGGGCCUUUUGUGGAUGGUGAUCGUCCAAAUUGGAAUUAUGUUCUUGGAGGACAAGGAGAAGUGUCCCUGUGUGAGUUUUCUAGACUGGCUUCUGACGUCUGUCUUGGAGGGCCAAGCCAGGGCUGGCCGGCCACUGACUGACCGCAAAGGAUUUCAAGCGUCCACAGAGGGAACUGGAGACCAGAACGGAGACUGAAAAGGGGAAGGAAAUGAAGUUGAGAAGCCUUAAGUCCUUAAAUGAAAUGACUCACCUCGCAGCGGGAGGAGGGCAAGCAGGAGGCCCCUGAGCGAGCAGGGCCCC